rnacentral:rRNA from 1 species
GUGAGGAAUUUUGCGCAAUGGGGGAAACCCUGACGCAGCAACGCCGCGUGAGUGAUGAAGGCCUUCGGGUCGUAAAGCUCUGUCGAGUGGGAAGAACCUACGAGGUACGAACAAUGCCUUGUAUUGACGGUACCACUGAAGGAAGCACCGGCUAACUCCGUGCCAGCAGCCGCGGUAAUACGGGGGGUGCAAGCGUUAUUCGGAAUCAUUGGGCGUAAAGCGCGCGUAGGCGGCCCAUUAAGUCAGAUGUGAAAGCCCGGGGCUUAACCCCGGAAGUGCAUUUGAAACUAGUGGGCUUGAGUAUGGGAGAGGGAAGUGGAAUUCCUGGUGUAGAGGUGAAAUUCGUAGAUAUCAGGAGGAACACCGGUGGCGAAGGCGACUUCCUGGACCAAUACUGACGCUGAGGCGCGAAGGCGUGGGUAGCAAACAGGAUUAGAAACCCUGGUAGUCC